rnacentral:rRNA from 1 species
UGCNAGUCGGGCGGUAACAGGGGAAGCUUGCUUCCUGCUGACGAGCGGCGGACGGGUGAGUAAUGCAUAGGAAUCUGCCUGAUAGUGGGGGAUAGCCCAGAGAAAUUUGGAUUAAUACCGCAUACGCCCUACGGGGGAAAGCAGGGGAUCUUCGGACCUUGCGCUAUCAGAUGAGCCUAUGUCGGAUUAGCUAGUUGGUGAGGUAACGGCUCACCAAGGCGACGAUCCGUAGCUGGUCUGAGAGGAUGAUCAGCCACACUGGGACUGAGACACGGCCCAGACUCCUACGGGAGGCAGCAGUGGGGAAUAUUGGACAAUGGGCGCAAGCCUGAUCCAGCCAUGCCGCGUGCGUGAAGAAGGCCUUCGGGUUGUAAAGCACUUU